GCUGUCCUGUGGUGUUGGUGAGAAUUGAAAUGUUUAUUGCUCAACCUACUAAUUUGGAAUCCCGCAAUAUUCUUGGUAAUUAUAGGCGGCCUCGGUUGCCCGAGACAGUAAUAAGCGGCAAGGAUGAGGGAAUCCCCCUGUUUUAACGGGCGUUAAAACUUCUUUUCGCCACGGCAUCUACGGGAUUUAU
rnacentral:other from 1 species